UAUAUUUUACACGAGCACUCAAAAAAUAUUAUUUAUCAUUUAUCUACUUAUUAUUUAUCACUCCUUCUUGGGUUCACGUUUGUAGAUAUGGGUACAUGUGAGUAUGAAGCGGUGAUGGUGUAAUGGUUAAGACGCCCGCCUGUGGAUCGAAAGGUUUCAGGGUUCUAACUGCAGCCGUUGAGCGUUGAGAGACGAAGCCCAGGGUCCGCUUUAUACUACUUAUUCGUCUCCACUUCGGUCGUCGGCAUCCCUAUUCAUAUGAUAAAAUUAACAAGUACAUAAUGUCCACAUCUAUUCCCGUAAACAUCCGAGGAAUUAUACUUUCACAAUAAAUACUUGUAUUUGUGUACUUA